GACGAACCGAGCGAACGUUGUUCGGAAUCACUGGGCUUAAAGGGCGCGUAGGCGGGCUCUCAAGUCCGGGGUGAAAUCCCACAGCUCAACUGUGGAACUGCCUCGGAUACUGGGGGUCUCGAGGGUGGUAGGGGUAUGCGGAACUAUCGGUGGAGCGGUGAAAUGCGUUGAUAUCGAUAGGAACUCCGGUGGCGAAGGCGGCAUACUGGACCACAUCUGACGCUGAGGCGCGAGAGCCAGGGGAGCAAACGGG
rnacentral:rRNA from 1 species